rnacentral:rRNA from 1 species
ACUGUUCUAACUAUCAUUAGAGAAGGUGAGUCGUACAGUUCGUAGGUUACCACACCGAUCCAAGAUCAGUCUUCAUUGUGAAUUGUGCUAUCGCGGGCUUG